AACUAAUUUGGAAACUCAAUACUAGAGAUCUUAGUCAAGUUUUCUAUAAUUAUUUGAUUAAGAAGGACGUUGCGGAGACUAGUUUUCCUUUUCGGGAAAUCUGCAAGGUUAAUGCCCCAGCAAGAGUUGUUUUCUUUGCUUGGGAAGCAGGUCAUAGGUGUACCUUUACUAUGAAAUGCUGGUGAGGAAGAGGAAAAUAUUGGGGAAUUGAUGUUUUCUCUAAAAGAGAGGCGGAGUCUUGUAAUCACAUCAUUCUUUGGUGCCCGCUUGCAUAUAAGUUAUGGAUCAUGACUAACAGGUCAUU
rnacentral:lncRNA from 1 species